CAGCAGCAGCCGCGGGAAUACGGAGGAUCCAAGCGUUAUCCGGAAUCAUUGGGUUUAAAGGGUCCGUAGGCGGUCUUGUAAGUCAGUGGUGAAAGCCCAUCGCUCAACGGUGGAACGGCCAUUGAUACUGCAGGACUUGAAUUAUUGGGAAGUAACUAGAAUAUGUAGUGUAGCGGUGAAAUGCUUAGAGAUUACAUGGAAUACCAAUUGCGAAGGCAGGUUACUACCAAUUGAUUGACGCUGAUGGACGAAAGCGUGGGUAGCGAACAGGAUUAGAUACCCCGUAGUCCCUGUCUCUUAUACC
rnacentral:rRNA from 1 species